GAUUUGCAGGCUUUGGUUCUAGCUCAGCAUUACCCAACACUACACAAAACCGGAUUCCACAAAUCACUAACCAGGACCAGGGUUGAAGACCAGACCAAUGCUUAAGAUGUUGCAAUCCCCUGGCCUUUUCCAUCCAGCAUUCAGCAGACUGGAAAGAGCAUUGGGGCCUUCAACAGAGGAAUUUAUCCAUAAAUAUCAGCGUGAUUACAGGAGCGUGACCAGACAUAAACGACACGGCCAGCGUGAGCAUAAAUCCUUCACUAACAGGGUCUGGUGGUGGCAAGGACACAGGAAGACGCACCCUGCCGUACCACUUCUCCUUCACUGCCAAGUUGGGAAGAUUGUUUGGUGAAGGAUAUUGAUGUGAUGGUGGUGAUGAAGAACAAGAAAAUACUAUUAAAGCGAUAAGACAUGAGAGGGGGAGCGUCUGAAACUUGGCAGCGCUGUGCUGUACAAAAAGUAUUGAGUACCACGGACCAGCAUGGAUGUGUGUCUAAUGAAAACUAUCGUACAUUUUGCAGCCCGUGAAAAGGUGUUCGCUAUACGUUUGAACUCGGUCAUAUAACCAGUCAGUGUGAUAACAUGUGACAACAUGUAAAAGCAACAUGUGAUAGCAUGAAUCUACACAUGUGAAAUAAAUGUGACAACAUGAGGAUGCAACAUUUGAAUGUGAUAUCAUGAAACUACACCUGACAACUGUUGAACGUUUUUUAACAUGUAAAACCGCAAAUUCGAUUGUCGCGUGAAUGUUUUUCACAUGUGAAAAUGCAAUUCCACGUGUGAGAGUUAGAUUUUCACAUGUGAAAACAUUUUUACAUGGGAAAGUGCAAAUUCAAUGUUCACAUGUGAAAGUUUUUCACAUGUAAAACUGCAAAUUUCAAAUGUGAAUCAAAAAUUCAUGUGUGAGGUGAAAACGUGUUAUUAUCCUUCAUGUGAAAAGUGGUGUUCAUAUGUGAACUCUGAAUGUAAUACAGGUGAACAUGUGGUUUGAACAACUGACCUCGUGUGUCUCUUGUUUUCAUGUGAGAAUUUCAGCUCAACAUGAAAACUGCACAUUGCACAUGUGUUUUUUGUAAGGGAAGUAGUGAAAUGGUAUGUGGUGUGCUGUUCAGCUAAAAUAGCGUAAACAUAUUUAAUCAAGAUGAUUACAUUUGACAUGAUCACUUAGUACUGACUUUUUCAAUAUGACCCCAACUGGGAUUUGAACUCACAACCUCUGGAUUUGGGAUAUGCUGAUAUUUCUGCUUUGCCACAAAGUCUGUAGCAUUCAUAAAAGUCCUCUAAAGAUUCUUGACCUAUAAUACAUCUUUGCACUUAGCAAAAGAGUGCCAUCAGCACUGCUAUCUUAGUUAUCAGUUAUUAAUUGGACUAUUCUCCCCUCAUUGAUUUAAUUGACUUAUUUCAGCAAUUUCGAUGGUUUUCUGUGUAGUUGUCUAAUGUUGGUGGGGAAUAUUAUUCUGUUUUAAUGUUAUUCCUGAAUCACUUUGAUAAAUAUAAUCGUUUUUCUUGAGUGUAUUUUUAACAAAGCUGAGAUUUACUUUGAAGUUCAAAGUGUAGGAAUGCAUGUGCAAUUAAAUCGGAAUGUCAUGAACCAAGAGGUUGUGAGUUCAAAUCCCAGGUGAGGACAUGUUGAACAACAAUUACUGUAUAAAAAAAAACAUACACAAUGUAAUCAUGUGGGUCAAAUAUGUAAGUUGAAAACACUGCGUGACGUUCUGAGGACGUCUUAACGACAGGGCACCGCGUG
rnacentral:lncRNA from 13 species